rnacentral:lncRNA from 1 species
GUUUACCCAGGAGGAUGGGCCAGGAGGAGCUCCGUCCGUGCUUCAUCCCCCUGCCCCGCCUCGACUCCCAGCCCAUGUCCGGUCAGGUGAGGCGCCCAGAGUACCUCGUGAGCAGCACCACCGCCUUGCUGACAGUGCCUGUGUGUCCCCCUAGCAACCCCCGACGAUGUUGUGGAGGCCGGUGGGAGUGAGAAGACCAAGGAGGAGGCCCUGGCUGGGGAAACUGAGGAGGAGAUGGGGCUGGGGACUGUGAAGGCAGAGGAGGAGGAGGAAAAGGAGGAAGCUGCAGCCAUAGACAAGGCGGAGGAGGAGGCGGGCCCGGCCCAUGAAAAUGACAAGGAGGAGUCGCCAGCCAGCGACCGGGCUGAGCAGGAAGACAAGCCUGCCCCCAAGGUGGACGGGACGGACGAUGAAAGCUUGUGGAGCAUUGUGAGUCUGUGUGGCAGCAACCACGAAGAAAGUGAUACAGACUUGGUGGCGGAGAGCACCGACUGCCGCCAGGAUGAGGAGGCUGCAGAAUCUUGCUUUGGGAGGAAAGGAUCUUGCUGCAGGAGUCUGAGGAUAUGUUUGUCCUCUGUGAGCUUGGCUAGAAUAAUCCCAUGGUGGCCACACAACAGAGUGCACCCUGCCACUGAGCCAGACGAAGAUACUGUGGAACCUGACUCAGUACAUUCAGCAACCCCCGACGAUGUUGUGGAGGCCGGUGGGAGUGAGAAGACCAAGGAGGAGGCCCUGGCUGGGGAAACUGAGGAGGAGAUGGGGCUGGGGACUGUGAAGGCAGAGGAGGAGGAGGAAAAGGAGGAAGCUGCAGCCAUAGACAAGGCGGAGGAGGAGGCGGGCCCGGCCCAUGAAAAUGACAAGGAGGAGUCGCCAGCCAGCGACCGGGCUGAGCAGGAAGACAAGCCUGCCCCCAAGGUGGACGGGACGGACGAUGAAAGCUCAAGGAGCAUUGUGAGUCUGUGUGAUAGUGACCACGAAGAAAGUGAUACAGACUUGGUGGCGGAGAGCACCGACUGCCGCCAGGAUGAGGAGGCUGCAGACUCCACUGGGACACCUUAAAGCCUCAGCCUGGGACUGGAAGAGUCCAAACGUUUCCAUCUUGACCAGGAAACAAGAUCGACCUCACUCUUCAUCUAUUACGAGCCAACUUUAGUAUAAGCUUAGUUCUUUAUUGUCUAGAUUUAGUAUUAAGUUCUGAUACAUGUUUACUACUUGGCAUUUAAGAUUUUGGUAGAAUGUAAGAUUUGUGUAUUAAGUAAUCGUUAUCUAUCUAUUUGCUUUUAAACUAGUUUUUGAUAAGAUAAACACAUGUAUAGGAGAGCCCCUUAAGCAGAGGUAGAACUUAAUGCACUGGCGUCAGGCAGUCACCCUGGUGUCCACCACCAGGAUCACCCCCUGUCCUGUCACCCGCAUCAGUCCUGUCUGAAGAAGGGGACUGUGGAUUUAGUCCUGACCAUCUGCCCUCAGGCCAGUUACUUUCCAGGGAUUCUGUGGCCUCACGUUAGUUUGUACCUUUGACCAUGGGACUCUGUCACGCUCCCUCUUUCAGGAUGACGUGGAUGGCCGGGCCUUGCAUGCCCAGACCCUGGCUGCUGGAACAUCCCUAACUCACCCUCUCUCCUCGUGUCUCUAACAUGUUUCUUUACAUCCCGUGCCUCGAGACGGUAUUUUUAAACCAUAUAGAGUGACACCGAAUGGGGCACAGAUAAAACUGUAAAAGCAAUUUUAAUAAAGUACACUUUGAUU